GGUUUAUGGUAAUGAAGCACAGUCUGGCACUCAGCUGGCCACAUAUUCCUUUGAGGUUUGUGACAGCAUAUUGAAUAUCGGUCCUUGUGUAAAUGCUUCAAUGGGAGAACCUGCUUUCCUCUCUGAGGAGUUCCAGAAUAAUCCGGAGCCAGACCUGGAGAUUGUUGUGUGUUCAGGAUACGGAAAGAAUGGUGCACUAUCUGUCCUACAGGUAAUGGUUCGAACCUCUGCAGCCCUUCGGGUUCCCAUUGAACACAAUAGAAAUUAA